GGAUAAGUAGAUAUGUACAAAAAAAUGGCACUAUGUUAAGUAGUUUUUUUUUUAAUAUAUGAGGCAAACGAGCAGUGCCCACGAACAGAGCUCGUAUCAGAAGAUUUAUAGAGAUGUACAAAGGAAUGGCGUUAUGUUAAGUAGAAGUAUUUUUUUUAAAUAUAGGAGGCAAACGAGCAGAACCCAUGAACAGAGCUCAUGUCAUAAGAUUUGUAGAGAUGUACGAAGGAAUGGCGUUAUGUUAAGUAGAAGUAUUUUUUUUAAUACAGGAGGCAAACGAGCAGAGCCCAUGAACAGAGGUCGUAUCAUAAGAUUUGUAGAUAUGUACAUAGAAAUGGCGCUAUGUUAAGUAGAAGUAUUUUUUUAAAUAUAGGAGGCAAAUGAGCAGAGCCCAUGAACAGAGGUUGUAUCAUAGGAUAAGUAGAUUUGUACAAAGAAAUGGCACUAUGUUAAGUAGAAUUUAUUUUUUUUAAUAUAGGAGGCAAACGAGCAGAGCCCACGAACAGAGCUCGUAUCAGAAGACUUAUAGAGAUGUACAAAGGAAUGGCGUUAUGUUAAGUAGAAGUAUUUUUUUUAAUAUAGGAGGCAAACGAGCAGAACCCAUGAACAGAGCUCAUAUCAUAAGAUUUGUAGAGAUGUAAAAAGGAAUGGCGUUAUGUUAAGUAGAAGAUUUUUUUUAAAUACAGGAGGCAAACGAGCAGAGCCCAUGAACAGAGGUCGUAUCAUAUGAUUUGUAGAUAUGUACAUAGAAAUGGCGCUAUGUUAAGUAGAAGUAUUUUUUUAAAUAUAGGAGGCAAAUGAGCAGAGCCCAUGAACAGAGGUUGUAUCAUAGGAUAAGUAGAUAUGUACAAAAAAAUGGCACUAUGUUAAGUAGAAUUUAUUUUUUUUAAUAUAGGAGGCAAACGAGCAGAGCCCACGAACAGAGCUCGUACCAGAAAAUUUAUAGAGAUGUACAAAGGAAUGGCGUUAUGUUAAGUAGAAGUAUUUUUUUAAUAUAGGAGGCAAACGAGCAGAACCCAUGAACAGAGCUCAUAUCAUAAGAUUUGUAGAGAUGUACAAAGGAAUGGCGUUAUGUUAAGUAGAAGUAUUUUUUUAAAUACAGGAGGCAAACGAGCAGAGCCCAUGAACAGAGGUCGUACCUAUCAUAGGAUAAGUAGAUAUAUAUGUACAAAGAAACAGCGGUAUGUUAAGUAGAUUUUUUUAUAUAGUAGGCAAACGAGCAGAGCCCAUGAACAGAGGUCAUACUCUUAUCAUAGAAUUGGUAGAUAUGUACAAAGAAACAGCGCUAUGUUAAGUAGAAUCGAUUUUUUUUAAGUUUUGCUAAACGAGCAGAACUCAUGAACAGAGUUCGUAUCAUAAGAUUUGUAGAUAUGUACAUAGAAAUGGCGCUAUGUUAAGUAGAAGUAUUUUUUUAAAUAUAGGAGGCAAAUGAGCAGAGCCCAUGAACAGAGGUUGUAUCAUAGGAUAAGUAGAUAUGUACAAAGAAAUAGCACUAUGUUAAGUAGAAUUUAUUCUUUUUAAUAUAGGAGGCAAACGAGCAGAGCCCACGAACAGAGCUCGUAUCAGAAGAUUUAUAGAGAUGUACAAAAGAAUGGCGUUAUGUUAAGUAGAAGUAUUUUUUUUAAUAUAGGAGGCAAACGAGCAGAACCCAUGAACAGAGCUCAUAUCAUAAGAUUUGUAGAGAUGUACAAAGGAAUGGCGUUAUGUUAAGUAGAAGUAUUUUUUUAAAUACAGGAGGCAAACGAGCAGAGCCCAUGAACAGAGGUCGUAUCAUAAGAUUUGUAGAUAUGUACAUAGAAAUGGCGCUAUGUUAAGUAGAAGUAUUUUUUUAAAUAUAGGAGGCAAAUGAGCAGAGCCCAUGAACAGAGGUUGUAUCAUAGGAUAAGUAGAUAUGUACAAAGAAAUGGCACUAUGUUAAGUAGAAUUUUUUUUUUUAUAUAGGGGGCAAACGAGCAGAGCCCACGAACAGAGCUCGUAUCAGAAGAUUUAAAGAGAUGUACAAAGGAAUGGCGUUAUGUUAAGUAGAAGUAUUUUUUUUAAUAUAGGAGGCAAACGAGCAGAGCCCAUGAACAGAGGUCGUAUCAUAAGAUUUGUAGAGAUGUACAAAGAAAUGGCGUUAUGUUAAGUAGAAGUAUUUUUUUAAAUACAGGAGGCAAACGAGCAGAGCCCAUGAACAGAGGUCGUAUCUUAAGAUUUGUAGAUAUGUACAUAGAAAUGGCGCUAUGUUAAGUAGAAGUAUUUUUUUAAAUAUAGGAGGCAUAGGAUCAGAGCCCAGGAACAGAGCUCGUAUCAGAAGAUUUAUAGAGAUGUACAAAGGAAUGGCGUUAUGUUAAGUAGAAGUAUUUUUUUUUAAAUAUAGGAGGCAAACGAGCAGAACCCAUGAACAGAGCUCAUAUCAUAAGAUUUGUAGAGAUGUACAAAGGAAUGUAUGACCUAUUAUUCACCUCGUAAAUUAUUUGCAGGUGACUAAAUAAACACCCUGUAUAUAUUUGUUGUUGUAUUAACAAAUCAAGCAUUUACAUUAAAAAAGUGAGUGACAUUUAAUUAAGUGUAACUACUGAUGAAGACCAGACGGAACACCUCAACUACGCGUAUUUCACGUUUGGCGAUAUCUUCUUCGUUGAGAUUGUUCUGCAAGUUAUUUUUUAAGCUUCAUUUUAGUCAAGAUCUAUUUCUGAUAAUGGAUCCCAGGAAUAAUGGAUGAAACUCUUCAAAUAUUUUACAUACAGUAUAUUUUUAUAUUUGCAUUUAAACAGUGCUAUUUGGUGAAACGUGUUCAUGAAGAUUAGAAUAUAACUUCUCCUUGACAAGUAUUUUACGAGUUAGGGCUUAGGUAUAUUAUAUGGGCUUACCUAUGGGCUAUUGUUUUUCAUUCAAUAGUUUACAUAUGUGAAAGAGAAAGUAUAACAAUAUGCUUGUUAGACUAAAAUAGCUUUAGUUUUGUUAAGUUCAAAAACUUAGUAGGUGAUAAUUAUAACAUAGGUAUAGAAUCUUCAAAAAUAAAACAGUAGAUACAAAGCAGGUGUUAUUGGCCCGUCUUUAUAUAUAGAAAAUCGAUGGCAUGAUUCCUAGGAACAGAUCUUCGUAUGUGUUAUAGUUUCAAACUUUCCCAUACUGAACGAUCUAAAUAGGCCACCAUGUAUACCCUACGGAACAUUUUAUUUCGUUGGAUGAAUUUAGGGUGUAGGGGAGAAACUACCCAAUUAUGAGCUACUUACUGAAAACUAUCAUUAAUAGACAAUUGUAAGGAUAUUUAACAUUGCCAAAAUAAGGUUAAAGGUGCCCUCUAGUAGUACUUAGUCGAUAUUGUGAUACAAUGAAUGGUAUUAUAAACAUUUUUCUUUUUUCAUAUACUAUGGAUAUUCCUCGAUGGCACCAAGCUGCAACUGGAAAGCGAUGAUCACACGGCAAAUAAAAUCGUGAAGACUGUAGCAGCCACGUCUAAGGAGGAUGAAUGUAUCCACAUUCAAUAUUUUUUAUUUAUUUUUUGUUUGAUAUGUAAAAAUGCACGUCAAUAAGGUGGCAAACUAUUAUUAACAGAGACCGGAAUUAUUGUGGCAUUCUUGAACUGUCA